UUUUUCAUGUGUUAUAAUCUACGUUAUAUCGAUGUUAUUCUUCUGUACUAUCUCGAUCGGCCAUAGUGCAAGAGCAGAGCGAGUAGCGCACUAAGAACAAUAACAGUUAUUAAAUACGUUACACACGUGUCGGCCCCGGAUAAAUCGUAAAACUGCGAUCUGAGCAAGCUUAUUGUUUCAAGCAAUAAAAUCCAUCGCCAUCGACGAGAGUAGACAAAUAUAAUCGACCUCCUGUUUUGUGCGCUUGGAGCAACAUCCAGAGGCAUCGUUUGCAACGCGAAAAACAUCUCUCGACGGCAGGCAACCUCUUCUGGACCAGAGCAGCAGUACUAGCAGUGGUACAUAAAGACAAAAAGACUAUUCCAUCAAUGUUCCGCGGGCAUCGACUAAUAUCUCGAAGAGCUUCGGAACGAUUUUUGGAAGAUGGUACGCCAAUGAACUAUGAACCGUUGGACGAGAUGCAAGUGUCUUCCAUGGACAAUGCGAAAGCGGAACCAAAUGCACGGAUUUCGGCGGAGGAUAAGAUCAAGAGGAAAUACUCGCAAGCGACCAAAAUCUACAAUUAGAUUGUCGCCAGAUGAGUCAGACAGAUUGGCCAAGAAAACAGGACACCAAAUUGUUCCCCUCUCUUUUGCCUCUCUCGAGGCUUUCAAAAUUACAAGCUUUCUUAGUUCUAUUUAAUUCGCAUACUUGAUUAAUUUAUUCGCGUGAAUUACAUUUUCGCUCUGUGCCACCUAGCAGCGACACGUCUACUACUUCACACACAUCAACUUAUAGAAGAAACAAACUGACAAACUGAUGUGGCUUCACCACAACUGACAAAAGAUUCACAACAUAAUUCUAGAUAUGGUUCAUAAUCAUAAUGAUUUUUUAUAAAACGUUUAAUAACUUUAUACUUCAUGUUAUAUUUAAU